rnacentral:rRNA from 1 species
AGAACGAACGCUGGCGGCGUGCCUAACACAUGCAAGUCGCACGAGAAAGGGUAGCAAUACCUGAGUAAAGUGGCGCACGGGUGAGUAACACGUGAAUUAUCUACCUCCGAGUGGGGAAUAACUGAGAGAAAUCUUAGCUAAUACCGCAUAACACUUACGAGUCAAAGCAGCAAUGCGCUUGGAGAGGAGUUCGCGGCCGAUUAGUUAGUUGGCGGGGUAAUGGCCCACCAAGACGAUGAUCGGUA